rnacentral:rRNA from 1 species
UACGUAGGGGGCUAGCGUUGUCCGGAAUCAUUGGGCGUAAAGAGCGUGUAGGCGGUCCGGUAAGUCCGCUGUGAAAGUCGGGGGCUCAACCCUCGAAUGCCGGUGGAUACUGUCGGGCUAGAGUGCGGAAGAGACGAGUGGAAUUCCUGGUGUAGCGGUGAAAUGCGUAGAUAUCUGGAGGAACACCGGUGGCGAAGGCGGCAUCCUGGACCAACACUGACACUGAGGAGCGAAAGCCAGGGGAGCAAACGGG